CCUGAAGAAAUCGAGAACUAUGGUAGGGAGAGUGGGGCAUUGGAGCUGCACAGAGGAGGGUCAGGCCUCUGGGUGGUAGAACCAAGGCUCUUCUUUCCUUGCAGUGCACCGAAUCGGCCUGAAGAAAUCGAGAACUAUGGUAGGGAGAGUGGGGCAUUGGAGCUGCACAGAGGAGGGUCAGGCCUCUGGGUGGUAGAACCAAGGCUCUUCUUUCCUUGCAGUGCACCGAAUCGG
rnacentral:lncRNA from 1 species